AACAGGAUUAGAUACCCUGGUAGUCCACGCCGUAAACGAUGGAUACUCGCUGCGGGCUAAAGAUUGUCCGUGGCUUAGCGAAAGCGAUAAGUAUCCCACCUGGGGAGUACGCCGGCAACGGUGAAACUCAAAGGAAUUGACGGGGGCCCGCACAAGUGGUGGAGCAUGUGGUUUAAUUCGAUGAUACGCGAGGAACCUUACCUAGGCUAGAAUGCGCGUGACCGGCUCAGAGAUGAGCCUUUCCUUCGGGACACAAAGCAAGGUGCUGCAUGGCCGUCGUCAGCUCGUGCCGUGAGGUGUUGGGUUAAGUCCCGCAACGAGCGCAACCCCUAUGGUUAGUUGCCAGCACGUAAUGGUGGGGACUCUAGCCAGACUGCCUGCGCAAGCAGUGAGGAAGGCGGGGACGACGUCAGGUCAUCAUGGCCCUUACGCCUAGGGCGACACACGUGCUACAAUGGACGGUACAGCGGGUAGCUACCAGGCGACUGGAUGCCAAUCUCGAAAAGCCGUUCUCAGUUCGGAUUGGAGUCUGCAACUCGACUCCAUGAAGCUGGAAUCACUAGUAAUCGCGCAUCAGCCAUGGCGCGGUGAAUACGUUCCCGGGCCUUGUACACACCGCCCGUCAAGCCAUGAAAGUCUGGUAGACCUGAAGCUGGUGCUCGUCACAGAAGCCAGUUAGGGUAGAACAGGUAAUUAGGGCUAAGUCGUAACAAGGUAACC
rnacentral:rRNA from 1 species